UUGUUUUCUAAAAGAUCAAGUAAUUAGGAACAGAUGGAGUAGUUAAAGUCAUAAAUCAUUUUAAAUGUAAUCUAAUGAGGUUUCCCAUUGCCCAACCACUUAGAAAGGACAAUUUCUCGACAUUUGAUGGCAUAUAUGUAGAAUAUGUGAAAUCUACUUGUGAACUUCUUGUUGAUUCCGUUUGUACGAAUUAAGAUAGAUCAAAGUGAGUUUAUCCAUCUCGUUCGUCUUCUACUAUCAUAUUGUGAAGUAUUAUACACGCUCGCGUAAUGUAUCCUAUUUUUACCUUAUCCCAAAUAAGAGCUGGAUUUUUUACAAUGGCAAAUCGAGCUUGCAAAACUCCAAAAGCACGCUCGACAUCUUUACGGCAAGCUUAUUGAGUUGUUGCAAAUAAAGAUGCUUUCCGAGUUUGCGGAACUAGAAUAGAUUGGAUAAAAGUAGCCCAUUUAGGGUCAAUUUCAUCUGUGAGAUAGUAACCCAAAUGAUACUCGUUCCCCUUGACUAAAUAAUUCACAGUUGGAGCUCGACCUCGUAAGAUAUCAUCAAAAACAGGAGAACAAUCAAGAAUAUUGAUUCGUUUAAGGUACUUAGAGGUCCAAAAAAUGUGUGCCACAUCCAAAGAUCUUGAGAAGCUACAGCCUCUAAAACGAUCAUUGGUUUUCCAGAUCCACGUGCACAUUGUCCUUUCUAAGCGGUUGGGCAAUUAUUCCACUCUCAAUGCAUACAGUCGAUGCUUUCCAUCAUCCCGGGAAAACCUCGAAUCUCUCCAAUCAUGUGUAACCAAUCAAUAUCUUGAGCAGUCGGUUUUCGUAGGUACUCAUCUCUGGAAAAAAAAACUAUCGCUUCAACAAAAUUAUGGAUGCAUGAUAGUGAGGGGUUUCACCAAUAUGGAGGUAUUCGUCAACCGCAUCAGCCGCACAACCAUAUGUCAGUAUACGAAUUGAUGUUGUAGUCUUCUAUAGUGUAGAGAAUUCUAACCUUCCGGUUGCAGCUCUUCUCUGUUGAAAGAAUGAAAUUUCAUUGAAAAAUCUAUCAACAAUACACAUGAACAAAGGCUUGUUCACUCAAAAACGACGUUGAAAUUGAUUAGUAGAGAAAGCUGCAUUGUCAUUAAAAUAAUGUUUCAUAACUUGAUGUGUCAUUCUUCACGAUGUGUUUCAAUAUACUUUUGUUUUUUCCUUGGUUUGGUUGAUGCUUGACAUUCAUCAUAUGAAUAAAUUUUAUUUUUAAAUGCUUCAUCAAAGAGAUUAUCAAAUUCUUUGUUCAAUUUUUCAUGAAAAUUAUCACGAGAAGAAGACGCUAUCUUGGUUUAGAAGAAAUGAUGGAGUAUAAUAAAAAGUAUGAGAAGAGAAAUUUGGGCUUUUGGUAUAAAAUUUUGGUACAAUAAAAAUUUACGAGAAUGAUUACAAUGAUAAGUUUAGCAUGGAGAAUGUUUGAAGAAUAUUAAGACAUCAUGAGAAGUGGUGUGCAUCACUGCCUACUAAAGUGAUUGUCAUUAGUAAAAAAAAAAAGGCUGAGGCAAAUGCGUGUCCAAUCUGGUGUAAAGCUUGACGAUCACCAUGGAAAGGCUGAAGCUCAUCCACCUGGUGUGAAGACCGCCAAGUGUAAAGGUAAAAUAAAGGUUAACACAAUUCAGCAGCAAUGGAAGGAGAUGAGAAGCCAAUAGAGAGAUUCCAAAGUAUGUGGAAAAUAAAGAAAAAAAUAUUUGGCUUUGAAAGACAAGCUCAUCAAAAAAAAAAAAUGCUAAACAACCUUCUAGGAAAACAACCUCUUAGUGAAAUAGAGGAAGAGUUGAAGAACAAGCUAAUUAGAGACUUGUUGUCAAGCUAAUUAGCUUUUGUUUCUGUUUUCAGUUUAUGUUCCACUUAUCUCUGCUUGUUUAAGUUUAUGUUACACUUAUCUCUACUUGUUUCUGCUUGGUUAUAACUUUAAUUUUUUUGUAAUGAGUUUGUGUCAUUGUGUUUAUGUAAUGAAAAGUUAUGAUUUGUGUUUCCGUUUAUGUCAAACACAUCCGCGCGUUUCAGUUUGUGUCAAACAUUGUGAUACAUGUCUUUGAAAGUUUAUGUCUUUGUGUUGGUGCAAUGGAUCAAGAAGUAGCCACAAGUGGUGGACGAAACAGACACAAGUGGUGGAAGAAACAGAGAAAAGUGGUGAAACAAACAGACAUAUAGAGCUGUCAAUUGGGUGGGAGGCCUGUGAGUUUGCGCAGUCUAAAUAGACAUGGGCAGACUAUGGUCCAUAUCAAAAAAAUAAAUAGUCUAAUUGAGCAUAGAAAUAAUUUUGUCCGUGAAUAAUAUGGGCUUGACCAUAUGGACAGUGGGCAUCCCAAUUAUAGGAAUUGACAUAUUUUCAUUUUAUUCAUAUUUCUUAUAAUUUUAAUUACAGUUACAAGUAAAUAAUUUUCAAAUUAUAUAAU
rnacentral:sRNA from 1 species